AAACUGAAGAGUUUGAUCCCGCUCAGAUUGAACGCUGGCGGCAUGCCUUACACAUGCAAGUCGAACGGCAGCACGGGUGCUUGCACCUGGUGGCGAGUGGCGAACGGGUGAGUAAUACAUCGGAACAUGUCCUGUAGUGGGGGAUAGCCCGGCGAAAGCCGGAUUAAUACCGCAUACGAUCUACGGAUGAAAGCGGGGGACCUUCGGGCCUCGCGCUAUAGGGUUGGCCGAUGGCUGAUUAGCUAGUUGGUGGGGUAAAGGCCUACCAAGGCGACGAUCAGUAGCUGGUCUGAGAGGACGACCAGCCACACUGGGACUGAGACACGGCCCAGACUCCUACGGGAGGCAGCAGUGGGGAAUUUUGGACAAUGGGCGAAAGCCUGAUCCAGCAAUGCCGCGUGUGUGAAGAAGGCCUUCGGGUUGUAAAGCACUUUUGUCCGGAAAGAAAUCCUUGGCUCUAAUACAGUCGGGGGAUGACGGUACCGGAAGAAUAAGCACCGGCUAACUACGUGCCAGCAGCCGCGGUAAUACGUAGGGUGCGAGCGUUAAUCGGAAUUACUGGGCGUAAAGCGUGCGCAGGCGGUUUGCUAAGACCGAUGUGAAAUCCCCGGGCUCAACCUGGGAACUGCAUUGGUGACUGGCAGGCUAGAGUAUGGCAGAGGGGGGUAGAAUUCCACGUGUAGCAGUGAAAUGCGUAGAGAUGUGGAGGAAUACCGAUGGCGAAGGCAGCCCCCUGGGCCAAUACUGACGCUCAUGCACGAAAGCGUGGGGAGCAAACAGGAUUAGAUACCCCGGUAGUCCACGCCCUAAACGAUGUCAACUAGUUGUUGGGGAUUCAUUUCCUUAGUAACGUAGCUAACGCGUGAAGUUGACCGCCUGGGGAGUACGGUCGCAAGAUUAAAACUCAAAGGAAUUGACGGGGACCCGCACAAGCGGUGGAUGAUGUGGAUUAAUUCGAUGCAACGCGAAAAACCUUACCUACCCUUGACAUGGUCGGAAUCCCGCUGAGAGGUGGGAGUGCUCGAAAGAGAACCGGCGCACAGGUGCUGCAUGGCUGUCGUCAGCUCGUGUCGUGAGAUGUUGGGUUAAGUCCCGCAACGAGCGCAACCCUUGUCCUUAGUUGCUACGCAAGAGCACUCUAAGGAGACUGCCGGUGACAAACCGGAGGAAGGUGGGGAUGACGUCAAGUCCUCAUGGCCCUUAUGGGUAGGGCUUCACACGUCAUACAAUGGUCGGAACAGAGGGUUGCCAACCCGCGAGGGGGAGCUAAUCCCAGAAAACCGAUCGUAGUCCGGAUUGCACUCUGCAACUCGAGUGCAUGAAGCUGGAAUCGCUAGUAAUCGCGGAUCAGCAUGCCGCGGUGAAUACGUUCCCGGGUCUUGUACACACCGCCCGUCACACCAUGGGAGUGGGUUUUACCAGAAGUGGCUAGUCUAACCGCAAGGAGGACGGUCACCACGGUAGGAUUCAUGACUGGGGUGAAGUCGUAACAAGGUAGCCGUAUCGGAAGGUGCGGCUGGAUCACCUCCUUU
rnacentral:rRNA from 1 species